CAGUCGCCGCGGUAAUGCGAAGGGUGCAAGCGUUAAUCGGAAUUACUGGGCGUAAAGCGUGCGUAGGCGGUGAGUUAAGUCUGCUGCGAAAUCCCCGGGCUCAACCUGGGAAUGGCAGUGGAUACUGGCUCGCUAGAGUGUGUCAGAGGAUGGUGGAAUUCCCGGCGUAGCGGUGAAAUGCGUAGAGAUCGGGAGGAACAUCAGUGGCGAAGGCGGCCAUCUGGGACAACACUGACGCUGAGGCACGAAAGCGUGGGGAGCAAACAGGAUUAGAUACCCGCGUAGUCCCUGUCUCUUAUAC
rnacentral:rRNA from 1 species